rnacentral:lncRNA from 1 species
CGUUACCAGGCGGAAGAAGCAGAGUGGCAGAGCCGCAGCGCUUGAUUCCGGGAGGCUGGGUGCUUCACUGCUGCAAGUGCAUCUUGGCUCAGAAGCUGUGUGGGGAGAAUUCCCGUUGACCUUUGAAGAGCCACUGUGGCAAAAGGUAAAAGACCUUAGCCGAUUCUCAAGCAGCUGUCGUUCAGACUUGGAGCACUGACAGUACCCGAAGCAGGCUGGUCUGAGCCGAGGAGGAAGUCUGCUUGCCUGCAGCUUGUCCUGGGGGUCCCGGCUCCUCUGCCCGCAGACCCUCUGACUCAGGCUGAGAGUCUCCAGCUAAGCUACAUCCGCGACCUUAUAAAACCAGUCCAGUGUCUGCCCGGGGGCAGUGAGUGGCCCAGGAUUACUGCUGGAACCAGACCGAAUGACUCAGAAGUUCCUUCCCCAUCCAAUGAUGCUUGUGAGAAAGCCAAGAUUCUCUGCAAGUGAUCUGAUCUUAGGGCUGAAACAGAGCGUCACCGGCUCUGUGUAUUUAUUAUGUUUUAAUAACAAGGAAAAGGAUCCCCAGCACUGAGCUGAGUCACAAGAAGGAGUGUCUGGUACACCUGGUGUCCAGAAGAAACUACACCUGGG